CUGUGUAUGUGUGACUGUUUUGGUGCUGCUGGCUGGCAAUCGCUCUCUUUUAGUGCUCUGUGUUCCUCCCCUCUGCACUCAUACGUUUCCUUCCUUUUUUCCUUUUUCUCCAGAGUGCGGCUCUGCUGAUUGGCCGGUGUCAUCAUAUGACACGGCUGCUUCAGCGCUAAGGAGUGUGGGAAUUGUAGGCAUCUCAGCGACCAUGUGACCUCUGAGAUCCAAUCGCGAUGCACCCGCCUCCCCAACAGGCUAUAUAUAGCAUGAUAUGAUCAUUAUCUGUCUGCUACCAACAGGGUACUGACAGAUGUCUUUAUUCCUCUUAAAGAUAGGAGAUUAUCUGUGGACUUUUCAGCUGCAAUUGACUGGUCCUUGAUUUUUGCUGCAAACGACUAUCCUUUGACUUUCUAUCACCAGCUGAUGUUUGCUUGCACUCAGACUGUUCAUCUAGUUAAAUACUCCAUAUGAAUUGAGGCUCUUCAGUGCCCAUGUUAUUGUCUUACUUAAUUCCCCUGUAUUCACCUUGAUUUUAUUACGCUUCAAGUCCUGUCAGUUGAACUUGGAUUUCAAUAUCCACCCUGAGGGGGUUUUUCCUUGACUGGCUGUGCAUGAAGCUAGGAGUAAUCUAGAGAGACGAUCUUGUCCUAAUUCCCCUGAAGAAGCCAAGAGGCGAAACUAGUAGGGUUGACCUGAUCGAAAAAAUUAUUUCUAGAU